GUAAAACAAUUAAUUGAAAAUCACAGUAUUGGCCAGUUAAUAAUUGGGGGUGACUUCAACGACAUAUUAUCUAUAAGAGAUACAAAGAAAAAAGUAGGAAAUAAAAAAUUUGAUAAACCAGUUCAUAACCUUAAAAUGUUAAUCAAGAAUCUUAAACUAACUGAUGUCUGGAGAAGCAAAAACAUAAAUAAAACCCAAUUUACCUGGAGAAGGAAAAACUUAUCAGAAUCUACAAGAAUUGAUUACUUUUUAGUAAGUGAUGAAGUUAAUAAAAAUUGCAUUACAUGCGACAUAUAACCAAUAGUUCAACAACACACUGAUCAUUACGCCGUUUCAUUAAAAAUCAACAUAAAUAGAAACUCAAAAGGGCGAGGUUACUGGAAAUUAAAUAGCAGCAUCCUGGAUGAUCAACAGUAUCAAAAAAUUAUUUCAAAAUUGAUUGAUAAAUAUAAAACAAAAUCAGAAACAUCUCUCAACCUAGAUAUUUGAUGGGAUAACUUUAAAGUUGAGGUAAGGGAUUAUACCAUCCAAUACUGUAAAUUAAAGGCAAAUAUAAAAAAAGAUACUAUUGAAACCUUAGAAAAUACAUUAAAAACCAUAUCUGAAGAAAUUGAUUGUGACAAUUAUAUAAAUGAGAAGAAAGUCAACCUAAAAGAAAACAUUGAAAAACAAUUAGCAAGUUUAUAUAAUGAAAAAAAUAAAGGAAAUCAAAUAAGAUCACGCGUAAAAUGGCUAGAAGAAGGGGAGAAAAACACAUCUUUUUUUCUUGGUCUAGAAAAAACACGACAAAGUAAAAAAACUAUAACUCAACUGUAUGAUGAAAAUAAUCAAGUAACAUAUGACCAAAACAAAAUACUAAAUCUGGAAGUCAAUUAUUAUACUAAAUUAUAUACUUCAACAAAACCCGAUACAGAAAAGGUAAAACAAUACUUUGAAACUAUCAAAGAAAGUAAAAUAAUAAAUGAAUCUGAAAGUAAUACAUGCGAGGGAAAAAUUACUAUAAGUGAAUGCACAGAGGCUAUAUUUAAGAUGAAAUUAAACAAGGCCCCAGGGCUGGACGGAUUGAACGUUGAGUUUUAUAGAAAAUUUUGGGAACAGAUUAAAGAUUUCAUAGUACCAGUUUUCAACUAUUGCUAUAAAAAAGGAGAAUUAACAAACUCCCAAAAAUUGGAGCCAUAUCUCUUUUGUUUAAAAAAAAUGAUCCCCUCUCCCUUGAUAACUAUAGACCUAUUACAUUAUUAAACUAUGAUGUUAAAUUACUAGCUUAUGCCUUAGCGCAACGACUAAAAUCAGUACUACCAAAAAUUAUUCACUCUGAUCAAAAAGGUUACAUAAAAAACAGAUACAUAGGUUUUAACAUAAGACAAAUCCAAGACAUUAUUGAUUAUUCUGAAAAAUUUAAUGUAGAUGGUGCAAUUUUAUUUUUAGACUUUACUAAAGCUUUCGACUCACUUGAGUGGUGCUUUAUGUUUGAAUCUUUAAAAAAAAAUUUGGUUUUAAAAAAGAAUUCAUAAAAUGGGUUGAAACUAUGUAUACAGACAUAAAAGGAUGUAUUUUAAAUAAUGGAUGGGUGUCUGCCCCCUUCAAUACAUUUCGUGGGAUUAGACAAGGAUGUCCGUUAUCUUCGUUAAUUUUUGUCUUGUGUGUUGAAAUAAUGGCAAUUAAAUUAAGAGAAAAUAAG
rnacentral:lncRNA from 1 species